CCGCUCCCUCCCUCCCUCUUUCCCUCCCUCCCGCCCUCCUUCCAUCCAUCUCACUCGCUCUCUCUCUCUAGUCCAUCUAUAAGAGCAAUGACAUGGAUGGGUCUGGCUGUAUGAGCACACCAGAGAUGAGGAUGGCCUUGAGCAAAGCAGGUUUCAGCCUGAACAACACUCUCCACCAGGUUUUGGCAGCUCGGUAUGGAGAGGCCGACAUGACCAUUGACUUUGAUAACUUCGUGGCUUGCGUCAUGCGCCUGGAGAUGAUGUUCAAAGUCUUCAAGAAGCUUGACAUGGAUGACACUGGUUUCAUUGAAUUGGAUUUCUUCCAGUGGUUGUCAUUUUCCAUGAUCUAGAAGAUGGCAGCACAAGACCUGUUCUCUCAGACUGUUCUCUCUCUGACUGUUCUCUCUCUGACUGUUCUCUCUGACUGUUCUCUCUCAGACUGUUCUCUCUCUGACUGUUCUCUCUCUGACUGUUCUCUCUCAGACUGUUCUCUCUCUGACUGUUCUCUCUCUGACUGUUCUCUCAAUGACCUGUUCUCAAAGACCUGUUCUCUCAAUGACCUGUUCUCAAAGACCUGUUCUCUCUCUGACUGUUCUCUCAAUGACCUGUUCUCUCUCUGACUGUUCUCUCUCUGACUGUUCUCUCUCUGACCUGUUCUCUCUCUGACUGUU